rnacentral:rRNA from 1 species
AGUGGGGAAUUUUCCGCAAUGGGCGAAAGCCUGACGGAGCAACGCCGCGUGAGGGAUGAAGGCCUCUGGGCUGUAAACCUCUUUUCUCAAGGAAGAAGAACUGACGGUACUUGAGGAAUAAGCCACGGCUAAUUCCGUGCCAGCAGCCGCGGUAAUACGGGAGUGGCAAGCGUUAUCCGGAAUUAUUGGGCGUAAAGCGUCCGCAGGCGGCCCUUCAAGUCUGCUGUUAAAAAGUGGAGCUUAACUCCAUCGUGGCAGUGGAAACUGUUGGGCUAGAGUGUGGUAGGGGCAGAGGGAAUUCCCGGUGUAGCGGUGAAAUGCGUAGAUAUCGGGAAGAACACCAGUGGCGAAGGCGCUCUGCUGGGCCAUAACUGACGCUCAUGGACGAAAGCCAGGGGAGCGAAAGGGAUUAGAUACCCCUGUAGUCCUGGCCGUAAACGAUGAACACUAGGUGUCGGGGGAAUCGACCCCCUCGGUGUCGUAGCCAACGCGUUAAGUGUUCCGCCUGGGGAGUACGCACGCAAGUGUG